AGUGAACGCUGGCGGUAGGCCUAACACAUGCAAGUCGAACGGCAGCACAGUAAGAGCUUGCUCUUACGGGUGGCGAGUGGCGGACGGGUGAGGAAUACAUCGGAAUCUACUUUUUCGUGGGGGAUAACGUAGGGAAACUUACGCUAAUACCGCAUACGACCUACGGGUGAAAGCAGGGGAUCUUCGGACCUUGCGCGAUUGAAUGAGCCGAUGUCGGAUUAGCUAGUUGGCGGGGUAAAGGCCCACCAAGGCGACGAUCCGUAGCUGGUCUGAGAGGAUGAUCGGCAACACUGAACCUGAGCAACGGUCCAGACUCUAAGGGGAGGCAGCGGUGGGGAAUAUUGACCAAGGGGCGCAAGCCUGAUCCAGCAAUCCGGGGUGGGUGAGGAAGGCCUUCGGGUUGUAAAGCCCUUUGUUGGGAAAGAAAAGCAGCAGGUUAAUACCCCGCUGUUCUGACGGUACCCAAAGAAUAAGCACCGGCUAACUUCGUG
rnacentral:rRNA from 1 species